UUUCGCCUGUUUAUCAAAACAUGUCUGUAUGAAUUAAAUAUAGAGUCUAGCCUGCCCACUGAGGAUUUAAAGGGCCGCGGUAAUUUGACCGUGCGAAGGUAGCAUAAUCAGUAGUCUCUUAAUUGGAGGCUGGAAUGAAUGGUUGGACGAGAAAUAAUCUGUCUUUUUUGUAAGGAUUGAAUUUGAUUUUUGAGUGAGAAGGCUUAAAUAGGUUGGAGGGACGAUAAGACCCUAUAAAACUUUAUAUUAAGAGAGUUAAUUUUUAAUUUUUGGUAUAAAAAUAAUUAGUUUUUGUUUAUUAGGUUGGGGCGACUGUAAUAUAAUAGAAUUUAACUGUUAACGAGAUGAAAUAAAUAUUUUUAUUGGAUGAUCCCUUAUUAGGGAUUAUAAGAAGAAGUUACUUUAGGGAUAACAGCGUGAUUUUUUCUGAGAGUUCUUAUCGACGAAAGUAGUUGCGACCUCGAUGUUGAAUUAAGAUUUUUGUCAGGGUGUAGGAGCUUUGAUGGUGGGUCUGUUCGACCUUUAAAAUCUUACAUGAUUUGAGUUCAAACCGGUGUGAGCCAGGUGGGUUUCUAUCUAA
rnacentral:rRNA from 1 species